rnacentral:rRNA from 1 species
AACGAACGCUGGUGGUAUGCUUUACACAUGCAAGUCGAACGAGCACGACCUAGCUUGCUAGGUACGGCUAGUGGCGCACGGGUGCGUAACGCGUGGGAAUCUACCUAAUAGUAAGGAAUAACAUUCAGAAAUGGAUGCUAAUACCUUAUACGCCCUACGGGGGAAAGAUUUAUCGCUAUUAGAUGAGCCCGCGUUAGAUUAGCUUGUUGGUGAGGUAAUGGCUCACCAAGGCUACGAUCUAUAGCUGGUCUGAGAGGAUGAUCAGCCACACUGGAACUGAGACACGGUCCAGACUCCUACGGGAGGCAGCAGUGGGGAAUAUUGGACAAUGGGCGAAAGCCUGAUCCAGCAAUACCACGUGAGUGAUGAAGGCCUUAGGGUUGUAAAACUCUUUCAGCAGGGAAGAUAAUGACGGUACCUGCAGAAGAAGCACCGGCUAACUCCG